rnacentral:rRNA from 1 species
UAUUGCGCAAUGGGCGAAAGCCUGACGCAGCCACGCCGCGUGGGUGAUGAAGGCCUUCGGGUUGUAAAGCCCUGUCGUGAGGGAAGAACACAAUGACGGUACCUCACAAGAAAGCACCGGCCAACUCCGUGCCAGCAGCCGCGGUAAUACGGAGGGUGCGAGCGUUGCUCGGAAUCACUGGGCGUAAAGCGUACGCAGGCGGAUCGUUAAGUCGGGUGUGAAAGCCCGGGGCUCAACCCCGGAACUGCAUUCGAAACUAGCGGUCUUGAGUACGGGAGAGGGAGGUGGAAUUCCUGGUGUAGAGGUGAAAUUCGUAGAUAUCAGGAGGAACACCGGUGGCGAAAGCGGCCUCCUGGCCCGAUACUGACGCUCAUGUACGAGAGCGUGGGGAGCAAACAG